rnacentral:tmRNA from 1 species
GGGGGCGACAGGUUUCGACGUGGAGCUUGAAGACACCGGUUGCAGGCCGAGUUACCUCAGACUCGUUAAACGGGGGCAAACAAUAACUGCCAACACAUACCAGCAACCGCUGGCCCUGGCUGCCUAGUGCAGCCAUGCUCGUUGUAGCUUUGUCCGCCGGGCUACUCUGAGUAUCACUGAAGACGGAUGUUAUCGGGAUGGUUCGUCCGCCCCAUCUCCGAUAACUGGCAACCCGCAAGGGACAAUGCGGACUCGGUGCGCGUUUUCUCGCCGUUGUGUCGGGGACGCGGCACCUAAAUCAAGACACAACUAAGCCUGUAGAUACCGCUGUUAUUCACUUCGCGGACCGGAGUUCGAAUCUCCGCGCUUCCACCA